UGCAAGUCUAGCGGUACAGGAUUAUGCUGGCAUUUUUGCGGACAAGCGGCGGAUGGGUGAGUAAUGUCUGGGGAUCUGCCCAAGGGCGGGGGAUAACCACUGGAAACGGUGGCUAAUACCGCAUAAUGUCGCAAGACCAAAGUGGGGGACCUGAAUGGGCCUCACGCCCGCGGAUGAACCCAGAUGGGAUUAGGUGGUAGGUGGGGUAAUGGCCUACCUAGGCGACGAUCCCUAGCUGGUCUGAGAGGAUGACCAGCCACACUGGGACUGAGACACGGCCCAGACUCCUACGGGAGGCAGCAGUGGGGAAUAUUGCACAAUGGGCGCAAGCCUGAUGCAGCCAUGCCGCGUGUAUGAAGAAGGCCUUCGGGUUGUAAAGUACUUUCAGCGGGGAGGAAGGAUAUCGCUUGAACAGAGCGGUAUGUUGACGUUACCCGCAGAAGAAGCACCGGCUAACUCCGUGCCAGCAGCCGCGGUAAUACGGAGGGUGCAAGCGUUAAUCGGAAUGACUGGGCGUAAAGCGCACGCAGGCGGUCAAUUAAGUUAGAUGUGAAAUCCCCGGGCUUAACCUGGGAACGGCAUCUAAGACUGGUUGGCUAGAGUCUCGUAGAGGGGGGUAGAAUUCCAUGUGUAGCGGUGAAAUGCGUAGAGAUGUGGAGGAAUACCGGUGGCGAAGGCGGCCCCCUGGACGAAGACUGACGCUCAGGUGCGAAAGCGUGUGGAGCAAACAGGAUUAGAUACCCUGGUAGGUCCACGCAGUAAACGAUGUCGAUUUGGAGGUUGUUCCCUAAGAGGAGUGGCUUCCGGAGCUAACGCGUUAAAUCGACCGCCUGGGGAGUACGGCCGCAAGGUUAAAACUCAAAUGAAUUGACGGGGGCCCGCACAAGCGGUGGAGCAUGUGGUUUAAUUCGAUGCAACGCGAAGAACCUUACCUACUCUUGACAUCCUCAGAAUUUGCUGGAGACAGCGAAGUGCCUUCGGGAACUGAGAGACAGGUGCUGCAUGGCUGUCGUCAGCUCGUGUUGUGAAAUGUUGGGUUAAGUCCCGCAACGAGCGCAACCCUUAUCCUUUGUUGCCGCACGUAAUGGUGGGAACUCAAGGAGACUGCCGUGAUAACCGGAGAAAGGUGGGGAUGACGUCAGUCAUCAGGCCCUUACAAUAGGGCUACCACGUGCUACAUGGCGGAUACAAGUGAAGCGACUCCCGAGAACAAGGGAACCAUAAAGUUGUCUAAUCGGAUGGAUCUGCACUC
rnacentral:rRNA from 1 species